UCGGGAAUUUUGGGCAAUGGGCGAAAGCCUGACCCAGCAACGCCGCGUGAAGGAUGAAGUAUUUCGGUAUGUAAACUUCGAAAGAAUAGGAAGAAUAAAUGACGGUACUAUUUAUAAGGUCCGGCUAACUACGUGCCAGCAGCCGCGGUAAUACGUAGGGACCAAGCGUUGUUCGGAUUUACUGGGCGUAAAGGGCGCGUAGGCGGUUUGUCAAGUCAGUUGUGAAAUCUCCGAGCUUAACUCGGAACGGUCAACUGAUACUGUCAAACUAGAGUACAGAAGGGGCAAUCGGAAUUCUUGGUGUAGCGGUGAAAUGCGUAGAUAUCAAGAGGAACACCUGAGGCGAAGGCGGGUUGCUGGGCUGAUACUGACGCUGAAGCGCGAAAGCUAGGGUAGCAAACGGGAUUAGAUACCCCCGUAGUCCCUGAGCGGGCUGGCAAGGCGCAU
rnacentral:rRNA from 1 species